rnacentral:sRNA from 19 species
GGAGUUGGCUGCUAGGGUUCCGGCCUUGCGUGAUGCAGGGUGCUGGUCCGAGAGCGGCCGCUUGCGGGGGAGACAUCCUCGCAGGACACGGCGGGACAAAAGCCCGGGAGAC